GCGGGCGUGGUGGAAUUGGCAGACACGCUGGAUUUAGGUUCCAGUGCUUCACGGCGUGGGGGUUCAAGUCCCCCCGCCCGCACCA
rnacentral:tRNA from 1 species